GUAGGUGAACCUGCGGAAGGAUCAUUAUUGAAUAAACUUGAUGGGUUGUUGCUGGCUUCUAGGAGCAUGUGCACGCUUGUCACCUUUAUCCAUCCACCUGUGCACCUUUUGUAGUCUUGGGGGUAUCUAACAAGUGUGUGUUCUGAGUCUAUUCAUGGUCUCCAGGAAUGGGGUCUGCCACAGUGAGUGGCUGACUCUGAUGUUCAUGCAUGCAUGUAUGCCCUCUAAGUCUAUGUUUUUCUUAUACACCACAAUUGCAUGUUUCAGAAUGUAUUAUCACAGGCCUCUCUGUGCCUAUAAAACAUUAUACAACUUUCAGCAACGGAUCUCUUGGCUCUC
rnacentral:misc_RNA from 1 species